AACUGCUUAGGAGUCUCACCUUUGUAUGUAUACGAAGCUGAAUGUACGGUAAGAAUAAGGAUCGGCUAACUCCGUGCCAGCAGCCGCGGUAAUACGGAGGAUCCAAGCGUUAUCCGGAUUUAUUGGGUUUAAAGGGUGCGUAGGCGGCCUAUUAAGUCAGGGGUGAAAGACGGUAGCUUAACUAUCGCAGUGCCUUUGAUACUGAUAGGCUUGAAUGUACUUGAGGUAGGCGGAAUGUGACAAGUAGCGGUGAAAUGCAUAGAUAUGUCACAGAACACCAAUUGCGAAGGCAGCUUACUAAAGUAUGAUUGACGCUGAGGCACGAAAGCGUGGGGAUCAAACAGGAUUAGAUACCCUGGUAGUCCACGCCCUAAACGAUGAACACUCGAUGUUGGCGAUAUACGGUCAGCGUCUAAGCGAAAGCGUUAAGUGUUCCACCUGGGGAGUACGCCCGCAAGGGUGAAACUCAAAGGAAUUGACGGGGGCCCGCACAAGCGGAGGAGCAUGUGGUUUAAUUCGAUGAUACGCGAGGAACCUUACCCGGGCUUGAAAGUUAGUGAAUGAUUCAGAGACGAAUCA
rnacentral:rRNA from 1 species